rnacentral:rRNA from 1 species
ACGCUCGACACCUACGGGAGGUAGCAGUGGGGAAUAUUGGGCAAUGGGGGCAACCCUGACCCAGCAACGCCGCGUGAAGGAAGAAGGCUUUCGGGUUGUAAACUUCUUUGACAAGGGACGAAAUAAAUGACGGUACCUUGAAAACAAGCCACGGCUAACUACGUGCCAGCAGCCGACGGUAAUCUGAGGCGGGCGUGGCAAGGC